GCCAAAAAGCUAGCUUAACAACCUAAAGACCCAGGACAACAUUAAAAUAUUUCACAAAACAAUAAAACACUAAACUAAAACAUUCUACCGCCCAAGUAUGUGAGACAAAAAAGGCACUAUAAAGCAAUAAUAAAAGUACCGCAAGGGAACGCUGAAAGAGAAAUGAAAAAAAUCAUUAAAGCACAACAAAGCAGAGACUAACCCUCGUACCUUUUGCAUCAUGAUUUAGCCAGCCCCCCUGAGCAAAGAGUACUUUAGUUCAACCCCCCGAAACUAAGUGAGCUACCCCGAGACAGCCUAUUAAUUAGGGCCAACCCGUCUCUGUGGCAAAAGAGUGGGAAGAGCUCCGGGUAGAGGUGAUAGACCUACCGAACCUAGUUAUAGCUGGUUGCCUAAGAAAUGAAUAGAAGUUCAGCUUCGCACUCCUUAACUCAUAGAUAAUUUCAAAACAUACGAGACAAAGAAACAUGCGAAAGUUAGUCAAAGGGGGUACAGCCCCUUUGAUACAGGACACAACCUUACCAGGAGGUUAAAGAUUAUACUAAAUAAGAUCCACCGCCAUAGUGGGCCUAAAAGCAGCCACCUAAACAGAAAGCGUUAAAGCUCCAGCGGACCAAAAAUCUAUUAUCCAAAUAUUCUCUCUCAAACCCCUAACAAUAUUAGGCUAUUCCAUGCCCCCAUGGAAGAAAUACUGCUAAAAUGAGUAAUAAGAAGGCACCCCCUUCUCCAGGCCCACGUGUAUGCUAGAUCGGACCUCCCGCUAGCAAUUAUCGAACCCAACCAAAGAGGGCAAUGUGAACAUAUCAAACACCAAGAAAUUCUCACAUAACCCAAUCGUUACCCCCACACCGGAGGGCCCAAAAACUAAGGAAAGACUAAAAGAAAAGGAAGGAACUCGGCAAAACUUAAAGCCUCGCCUGUUUACCAAAAACAUCGCCUCCUGCAAAACUAUUCAACGUAUAGGAGGUCUUGCCUGCCCAGUGACAAGUUAAACGGCCGCGGUAUUUUGACCGUGCGAAGGUAGCGCAAUCACUUGUCUUUUAAAUGAAGACCUGUAUGAAUGGUGGAACGAGGGCUUAACUGUCUCCCCUUUCAAGUCAAUGAAAUUGAUCUGCCCGUGCAGAAGCGGACAUACUAAUACAAGACGAGAAGACCCUUUGGAGCUUAAGAUAUAAGAUCAACUAUGUCAAGAGCCUCCCAAAUUCCGGCUAAACUAAAUAGUUAAUUGAUUCAUAUCUUCGGUUGGGGCGACCACGGGAGAAAACAAAGCUCCCAAGUGGAAUGGGGCCAACCCCUAAAGCCAAGAAAGACAUCUCUAAGCCACAGAACAUCUGACCAUAAAGAUCCGGCGAAGUGCCGAUCAACGAACCAAGUUACCCUAGGGAUAACAGCGCAAUCCUCUUCCAGAGUCCAUAUCGACAAGAGGGUUUACGACCUCGAUGUUGGAUCAGGACAUCCUAAUGGUGCAGCCGCUAUUAAGGGCUCGUUUGUUCAACGAUUAAAGUCCUACGUGAUCUGAGUUCAGACCGGAGCAAUCCAGGUCAGUUUCUAUCUGUAACGCCACUCUUCCUAGUACGAAAGGACCGGAAGAAUAGGGCCCCUAUUAUUAAUACGCCCUACCCUAACUUAAUGACACCAACUAAACUAAACAAAAGGAGAGCAUAACCCCUAAUCAAGAUAAGAUCU
rnacentral:rRNA from 1 species